UGUUAGAAAUAUACUGGUAACACGAAUAUAAAAUUAAAAAUAUGUUACUCUACCCACAGUUUUUCAAAAUGUUUAACUUAAAACUUCUUAAUUCAGACUGCGAGCUUCAUAUAUAAAUAAUUUACAAUAGUAACUGUUACUUUAUCUAUACAAACUGUUUUGUAGACAUAACUAAUAAUAAUAUUAAAAAGAAAUGGCUUGGUCUAAAUACAAAAGAAAAAAAUGGCUUUUUCUUCUUCUUUUUCUUUAAUGGGUUGCCAAUCUUAAAGUAAGCGGCUAUUUAAAGCUUAACGCAUUUUGUACACCAUUUCUAUUUUAUUAUUAUAGUUAUGUAUAAUGUUCUGUGGUUUUGUAAGUUUGUUCCUAGUGAUCGUGAAGUUUGUUUCUCCUGUGUUUAGGGUUACCAGAACUAUUAAUCAUAAACUGUAAAAAAUAUGUUUCUCAAAUGUAAAUAGUUUCUGUAAAUAUUUUUGCAAUUUUCAAUGUUUGCUUUCGUCUCAAUGUUAUUUAAGGACAGAAAUAUUCCUGAUUUUGUUUGUUAAAACAAUAUUGUGACUUUUAAAGUCUGGUAACUCUGCCUGUGCUCGACUUAAGUAUGACGUCACAAAUACAUGUUCACUGCCUUAGAUUUUUCAUGCAUUUAAGACUCACAAAGAACACACGUAUUGAGAUAGUUAAAUCUAUAAUAUACUGAUGCAUUAAAAUUAUUUUAGUCUUGUCUUAAAAAAGUCCCAAACAAGCAUUUUUUCUGGUAUUGCUAGUGUUCAAGAAUGGUAACAUAAAUAGGCCGGGAGAUGGUGACACAAAAUUCUUGGUCAUUUGUACCUGUAUGGCGGUUCUUCAGGGGUCUAAUUAUGUAAAGGCAAAAAGGGAAAUGAUAGUCAUAGCCUAACAAAGAACUGUUAAAAAAAGUUUCAGGGUGGUACAAAUCUGGUAUGGCGGCCAUUGGGAAUUGUCGGAAAAGAACCGCCAUACUGAUACAAAUGACCAAGAAUUUUGUGUUACAAUCUCCCUGUUUAAAAAGUUUGUCUGUAUAUUUUUAAUUCAUCAGUAUAUUAUAGAACCAAAAGUAGUGAUAAUAUUGCGUCAGAGUUGGUACAAAACAUAUUUUGUGAUCAAAGUUAGAAAAAAAUAUUUUUUGCAUUAAAUAGACACCUACAUUUGUCUUAAGAUUACAAAUUGUUAACAACAUAAUAUUUUAAUAGACAACAUAUUGGAAUUGACAAGUAAAUUAUAAAUCAGAAUUAACAAAACCAUAGAAAUGUAAGUUUUUGAUGAGAAGAUAAGAUUGUAUCACAACAGCUGUGGUAAUAUGUUUGUAAAUUCAAAAAACUUGUAACAAACUUGAGUUUUUAAAACAAAAAAAAAAACUGUUUUUUUGUGAAAGGUGCAAGCGGUAAUUUGAAUUUAAUUUAUUACUCUUGUAUUUCUAUGGUUUUGAGGGUUGUAUUUAUUUGUGAUGGUGUGAAGUUGUACUUAAAUAUUCACGGAGUAUCUCAGUGUAUCUAAUGUCACUUAAUGCAAAAUAAAAAGUUGAAUCUUGCCCAU